UACGAGGGGGGCGAGCGUUGUUCGGAAUUAUUGGGCGUAAAGGGUGCGUAGGCGGUUUGGUAAGUCUUAUGUGAAAUCUACAGGCUCAACUUGUAGUCUGCAUGAGAAACUGCCGGGCUUGAGUAUGGGAGAGGUGAGUGGAAUUCCUGGUGUAGCGGUGAAAUGCGUAGAUAUCAGGAGGAACACCUGUGGCGAAAGCGGCUCACUGGACCAUAACUGACGCUGAUGCACGAAAGCUGGGGGAGCAAACAGG
rnacentral:rRNA from 1 species